CAAUAGCGUAUAUUAAAGUUGUUGCAGUUAAAAAGCUCGUAGUUGGAUUUCUGGUGGGAGUGUUCUGGUCCGCUUCGAAAGAGGUGUGUACUUUAGUGACAUCUGCCAUCCUUGGGGAGAACUGCGCUGGCAUUAGUUUGUCGGUGUAGGGAACCCCAUCGUUUACUGUGAAAAAAUUAGAGUGUUUAAAGCAGGCUUACGCCUUUGAAUACAUUAGCAUGGAAUAAUAAGAUAGGACCUUUGGUGGCUAUUUUGUUGGUUUGAACGCCAAGGUAAUGAUUAAUAGGGAUAGUUGGGGGUAUUCAUAUUUAAUUGUCAGAGGUGAAAUUCUUGGAUUUCUGAAAGAUGAACUACUGCGAAAGCAUUUACCAAGGAUGUUUUCAUUAA
rnacentral:rRNA from 1 species